UGGGUAGAGCUCAGUGGUAGAGCGCUUGCCUGGCAGGCACACGGCCCUGGGUUCAGCCCCAGCACUGCACAA
rnacentral:tRNA from 1 species